ACGGGUGAGUAAUACAUCGGAACGUGCCCGAUCGUGGGGGAUAACGGAGCGAAAGCUUUGCUAAUACCGCAUACGAUCUACGGAUGAAAGCAGGGGACCGCAAGGCCUUGCGCGGACGGAGCGGCCGAUGGCAGAUUAGGUAGUUGGUGGGAUAAAAGCUUACCAAGCCGACGAUCUGUAGCUGGUCUGAGAGGACGACCAGCCACACUGGGACUGAGACACGGCCCAGACUCCUACGGGAGGCAGCAGUGGGGAAUUUUGGACAAUGGGCGAAAGCCUGAUCCAGCCAUGCCGCGUGCAGGAUGAAGGCCUUCGGGUUGUAAACUGCUUUUGUACGGAACGAAAAGCCUCUUUCUAAUAAAGAGAGGUCAUGACGGUACCGUAAGAAUAAGCACCGGCUAACUACGUGCCAGCAGCCGCGGUAAUACGUAGGGUGCGAGCGUUAAUCGGAAUUACUGGGCGUAAAGCGUGCGCAGGCGGUGAUGUAAGACAGAUGUGAAAUCCCCGGGCUCAACCUGGGAACUGCAUUUGUGACUGCAUCGCUGGAGUGCGGCAGAGGGGGAUGGAAUUCCGCGUGUAGCAGUGAAAU
rnacentral:rRNA from 1 species